rnacentral:rRNA from 1 species
UUAGGAAUCUUCCACAAUGGGCGAAAGCCUGAUGGAGCGACACCGCGUGAAGGAUGAAGGCCUUAGGGUUGUAAACUUCUAAAAGAGGGACGAUGAUGACGGUACCUCUUGAGAAGCACCGGCUAACUCCGUGCCAGCAGCCGCGGUAAUACGGAGGGUGCAAGCGUUAUCCGGAAUCACUGGGCGUAAAGGGCGCGUAGGCGGUCUGUUAAGUCUGGCGUUAAAGCCUGGGGCUCAACCCCAGAUCAGCGUUGGAUACUGGCAGGCUAGACGGCUGGAGAGGCGAGUGGAAUUACCAGUGUAGCGGUGGAAUGCGUAGAUACUGGUAGGAACACCCAUUGCGAAGGCAGCUCGCUGGACAGCACGUGACGCUGAGGCGCGAAAGUGUGGGGAGCAAACCG